GCUGUCCAAAUGGAGCUAUUUUACUUCAUUUCAGAGACACAAUUUUCAAACCUUAAAAUGAAAAUGCAUACUUAAAAAAACUUUAAUUAUCAAAUUCAAAUUAUUAUAGCGUAACACAUGUUUGUUUACACUUAAAGUUUUAUUCGGUUAGGCUUUGUCAAAUGCUAAAGGGAUUUUUCUGUGCCUGGUCGAAUCCCAUCUCUUUAGCACUUAUAUACAUUCAAUAUUGCAACAUUGUGACUUCUAUGUAGCUGUAUGUGUUGCAUAGAGAGACUACACAAUCUGCUUUCCGUCAUUGUUCACCUGUUCCAUGUUUUAAUUGCAUGACAUUGCGUUUGAAUGCUUGCUCUAUCGAAUAUUUUUAC
rnacentral:lncRNA from 1 species